UAUAAAGUGCGUGGGCGUGGAGGUGUCGGCGUUACUGUGGAGCGGCGCCCGUGGGAGCUGGUGGCGCUGCGGCUCCGCGGGCUGAGGCCGCCGGACAUGCCCCUCAAGGUGAUAUCGGGACAGUGGUGACAGCUCGUAUUGAUGUGCGAGUGAUUGACAACCUUGUCAACAGCCCGCAGCGCCGCUGGGAACGCCGGGAGCAGCUGCCGGAGGAAGGAGCUGGAGCCAGGACAGAUUCUAGAGCUGAAGCUGAGACAGCACAGAGCUGAAAUCACUACGGGGAACGUAGGGCUGGAGCUGAAAUACAGAAUGUGGGCUGGAGCUGAAAUGAAAUCUAUAGGGCUGGAGCUGAAAUAAAGCUUGUGGGAAAAACACUGGAGCUGAAAAAUCACUGUAGUGCUGGAGCUGCAACAUCCCAGAGCUGAACUGCAGCCGGGAGCUGUGGAGCUGAGAGAAACCUGCGGGGCUGGAGCUGAACUGAUGGAGACUUGGAGCUGAAAUAAAGAAUCUGCAGCAUGGAUGGAGCUGAAAUAAAAUCUAUAGGGCUGGAGCUGAAAAAUCA